GAUGAAGAACGCAGCGAAAUGCGAUAAGUAGUGUGAAUUGCAGAAUUCAGUGAAUCAUCGAAUCUUUGAACGCACAUUGCGCCCCUUGGUAUCCCGAGGGGCAUGCCUGUUCGAGCGUCAUUUCACCACUCAAGCCUGGCUUGGUGUUGGGCGACGUCCCCUUUGGGGACGCGCCUCGAAACGCUCGGCGGCGUGGCACCGGCUUUAAGCGUAGCAGAAUCUUUCGCUUUGGAAGUCGGGGCCCCGUCUGCCGGAAGACCUACUCGCAAGGUUGACCUCGGAUCAGGCAGGGAUACCCGCUGAACUUAAGCAUAUCAAUAAGCGUAGGA
rnacentral:misc_RNA from 1 species